CACACACACACUCACUGCUAGUACUUAGGGAUGUCAUUCACCCAGAAUCUAUGCGAAAUAUACGUUCAGUCAACUCGUUUCUCUGCGUUACCAAGCCGGUCUAGUUAGUUUGUCUUCUCGUGAUCCUCGACCCUUGUUUCCGGUUUCGACUGCGCUCUCUGCCUGACCCCGUUUGUGUUGUUCGUCCGAUCGCUUGACAUUUGCCUGUCUUACGACUACGUUUCUUGUAUUUCCCGAUACGACGCUCUACACCUGCUGCCCGCUCCUGCUUCCGUGCCAAUUCGAGUUACAGUGAGAGUAAAUCACUUAACUGUCAGCUGGAAGGUUGGAUGGAUCCUCCAGGCUCAUUAAGUGGCUGGUACUUAUUUUGUUCAUUGGUACACCAUAGUUCAAUGCUACAGCCUUUAACAUUUCCUCAUGCUGCAGAUCAACACCUAUGUUAUAGAUAUGUAGAUAUAACACAGAUUUGUUAUAGGUUGCAGUGUUAAGGUGUUCCUGGUUGCCAGUGUUUAUACUGCUGUAAUAAGAAGUUCGAAAUUAAUACUUAGACUGAUGAACUGCUUCCAGUCUAGAACGUCUGUCCUGGUUAGUAUGUUCCUGAGACAUGAUUCGUCCUUAGUAAAAAUGAUCACAUUAUUAAAAAAGUCUGGUUUCUGUGUAUAUGAGAGAAACAGGUCAACUAUUAAAACUGAGAUAUAUUGUUA